rnacentral:rRNA from 1 species
AUACGUAGGUGACAAGCGUUAUCCGGAUUUACUGGGCGUAAAGGGCGUGUAGGCGGUCUUGCAAGUCAGAAGUGAAAUUCCUGAGCUCAACUCGGGCGCUGCUUCUGAAACUGCAGGCCUUGAGUGCUGGAGGGGAUAGCGGAAUUCCUAGUGGAGCGGUAAAAUGCGCAGAUAUUAGGAGGAACACCGGUGGCGGAGGCGGAUAUUAGGACAGUAACCGACGCUGAGGCGGGAACGCGUGGGGAGCAAACCGGAUUAGAUACCCUGGUACUCCACGCUGUAAACGAUGAAUACUAGGUGUAGGGGGUAUCGACUCCCUCUGUGCCGCAGUUAACACAAUAAGUAUUCCGCCUGGGGAGGACGGCCGCAAGGUUGAAACUCAAAGGAAUUGACGGUG